AAUGACUAGGUUUAUGGUAGAAGCAGAGCCUUUUUCUUAUUGGUUAGGUACACAACGUGAGAAACCCCUGUGGUUGUUAGAGGAGAGAAGGGACAACCUGAUGAUAGAAGUAACUCUUAUAACUGGAGGUUGCAGGUCAAUGACUGAUCUUAAUUGGGAAGAACAGUGAUGACAUCCAUUCGAGCUGUAUUUAUAUUCUUGUGGCUGCAGCUGGACUCGGUGAAUGGAGAGAAUGUGGAGCAGCAUCCUUCAACCCUGAGUGUCCAGGAGGGAGACAGCUCUGUUAUCAAGUGUACUUAUUCAGACAGUGCCUCAAACUACUUCCCUUGGUAUAAGCAAGAACUUGGAAAAGGACCUCAGUUCAUUAUAGACAUUCGUUCAAAUGAGCAUGAAAAGAAAGACCAAAGAAUUACUGUUUUAUUGAACAAGACAGUCAAACAUUUCUCUCUGCACAUCACAGAGACCCAACCUGGAGACUCAGCUGUCUACUUCUGCGCAGCGAGUACACAUUGCUUCCCAGGCACCUGCUACCCGUACACAAACCUGAGACUGGAGCUGAAGCUGCAACCCGUUUCUUUUGUCAUAGACCUUCAAGUAUAGCAUCUGUCAUAUUGUUUGUUUGCAAGUUGAAACUAACAUACUGACAUUAAAAGCAUAUAAUGAAAAGGUUAGGUUCAAGGUGACAUGGAAAGGUUUAGGGCAUUUUGUUGGCUGAUUGUUGCCGAAUGAAUGCUUUUUUCUAACAUUUAUAUUAUUGUAUAUGUUUAAGGUAUGCAACAUGAUGUUUUGACAUACAUAGUAAAAAAUGAAGAGUCAGAUGAAGAGAUGUCUAGGGCAAGGUGUAGGGGAGGGGAUGCCGAGCUUCCAUGCCUUCUCUGGCUGUGCCUCCCUCCAGGCACCUCCAUGUGUUCAUUCAGCAAUCAGAAGGCUCUGCUCAGUAGAUUCUUAAAGGGAAUCAUUUAAAAAUCUAGGCCUUAAAGAUGACUUUACAUUUUCCUAUCAAUUCAGACUCCUCUGCUAUAAAUAACCCCUUAAUAUCAAUAUCACAAUCCCUAUUAUGAAUGAGCUUUUCACUCUUGUCUUUUGAAAAUCAUUUUAGUUAUUUGUUCUGAUUGUAAAGCAUUACAUGACAAAUAUAGAAAAUAUGUAAAAGGCCAGGCA